rnacentral:lncRNA from 1 species
UGACUGCUUACCUUGUCUGUCACCUCUUUCGACAUAUCUCCUAGCUCGGCGACUUGGGGGACUCCUACUAUAGGGUUUGUAUCGCACUUGACCAAGCCCGAAACUACAAGUCGAACCUCCGAUCCUGGGUUGCUUGCUUGGAAGUUUGACUGCUUACCUUGUCUGUCACCUCUUUCGGCAGAUCUCCUAGCUCGACGACUUGGGGGACUCCUACUAUAGGGUUUGUAUCGCACUUAACCAAGCCCGAAACUACAAGUAAGCUUCAAGUGAAAUUAACACAUUACCUUGUGCAUCUUCAUCGGUUAAAGAUACCACCCAUGGAUGGAGGAAAAGUACUUCCAGAAAAGAUGCCACAUCUACAUAUGAGACAGAUAAGACACGUGAAAAUGAUACCACACUUCAGUACUUAGAAGUUUCGUGAUUACUCAAUGGCUUGGAUCUUGCAAGUCCCCAACCGAUGAGCUUCCCUCACUCG